AGAUGCUGCCCCUACCAUCGUUUAUAUGUGCCUUAAUUCUGCCACACACUGCAGCAAUGUCAAGAGAAAGGAUAUCCACUUCAGGGUUCUAAGCCUGAUUGCUUGGCAAUGCCAAGGGAAUGGUUACCUUAAUCUCAGCACCUCCUCCAGGAGGCAGGAAAAGCCCUGGGUACUUAAUAGAGAUUCUUGGUGAUGCUGCUGCUGCUGCUGCUGCUGCUACUGCUGAAGAUGGUGUUACAGAAGGGGCCCCCUAAGAGCAUCUGCUCUGGUAAGAAAUGUCAUUGCUGGCUUCACCAUGCUUGUCACUCAUACCUGCGUGGUCCCAGUGGAGAUGGCAGUCCUAAUCAACUUGCUGCACAAUGACACGGAAGAGUUAACAGAGUUACCGGAUGAUGCUGUAGAGUGAGCUUCCAACUACAACACCUGCAGAGGCAACUUUGAUUUGAGAUGGAGGUAGAAAGAGACUGGCACGCAUUCCUUUUCAGACAUCCUCCUUUCGGGCAAAUUGGUCACGUGAGAGAAACUUGAUUACUCUGUCAAGAAGUGAGUCCCUACAUCAGAAAACUGCACCGCAUGGUGUGAGAAAUUAGAACAAUUCAAACCAAAAGAGAUGCAUUGGAUCAUCUGCAUCUGGACUGUCCUGUGCAUUAACCAUGCGACUAGGUCUCACGAGUUUAUUUCAAGUCCCCAUGCUUUGAUUUUGAUUUAAUUCGCUUUUCCUCUUGGCAAAAUUAUAGACAACUAACUGCACCUUCAGCCAGUAUUUCCCAUUUUCUUAAGAUACCAAAUAAUCCUCUUCAAAGUGAACCACUCAAUCCCCUGGUGUGAGCAGAGUAUAUAGGAGAAACCUGCAACAGACAGUCAUUUUGGCUGAUUACAAUUUCCUAAUAUAGACACUGUUUUCGUUACUACUGUGAAGCCCAUGAAACAACUGUUGGGGAAAGCUUUAAAAACACAGACACACACACUUGGCACACCGGCCUGGCAUUAAACUAAAUUACAGGUACAGUGGUGACAUAUGUAAACGAAUCUGCCAGUACAAGUUACCAAAUGUUAUGUGCCGCACACAAUAAUAGGCAAUGCAUUAUUCAAGUUUUGUACUAAUUAAAGAACUACUUUGUUGCUAAGAAUCAGUGUAUUAAAAACAUACAUUCUUAUUAACUGCGUUCCCAAGAGUUAGAAAGAUGAGAGGUGGAUCUCAGGUUUCAAGGACCUAUUAUUAGGUUCUCAAAGUAUUUUCUUAAUCGCAUGCAUUUUUGAAGAGAAAGCUCAGAGUCCCUAUCACAUAAACAAGGUCUGAUUGUGGGGUUUUAAAUGGCUAUCUUGGGGUUUUCUUCUUUCCACGUUGUUUUUCCUUCUCAUUCCACCAAAUUUCAUUUCUCGGAGUCAGAACCUGAACCGAAGUUAAACACCAUAAAGAAAUUUGCUCAGUAAAACAGGACUUUUAUUGGCUGAAAAGCAUUUUUACAGUGUAAUCUGCAUUUUUGUAAGUCCUUGUGGAAAAUCCCCUCUGAUUGAGUGGUGCUUAAAAACUUGAAAAUACACAUUGCCCAUGAAGCUCUGAUAAUUUGACAGAGAGAUGGCAGGGGGUGGGGGGUGCGGUGAGGAACU